rnacentral:rRNA from 1 species
GCCAUCCUUGGGAUACCACCCUUGUAGUACUGGGACUCUAACCAUAGGCCAUGAAUCUGGUCUUGGGACACUGUCAGGUGGGCAGUUUGACUGGGGCGGUCGCCUCCCAAAAGGUAACGGAGGCGCUCAACGGUUCUCUCAGUACGGUCGGAAAUCGUACGUAGAGUGUAAAGGCAAAAGAGAGCUGGAUUGCAAGACAUACAGGUCGAGCACGGAUGAAAAUCGGACUUAGUGAGCCGGUGGUUCUGCGGGGACGGGCCAUCGCUCAACGGAUAAAAGCUACCCUGGGGAUAACAGGCUUAUACCCCCCACGAGUCCACAUCGCCGCGGAGGUUUGGCACCUCGAUGACGGCGCACCACAUCCUGGGGCCGUAGUAGGUCCCAAGGGUUGGGCUGUUCGCCCAUUAAAGUGGUACGCGAGCUGGGUUCAGAACGUCGUGA